rnacentral:lncRNA from 1 species
CCAAAAAAUUUCUGUUAUAUUUUAUUUAUUUAUUUACUUAUUUUUUUUUGUUUUUUUUUUGUUUUUUUUUCGUUUUCGUUUUUCGUUCUUUUUUUUUUAAACACGUGGGCUUCGCCUAGCGAGCAUGACAGUUCAAGAAAUUUCUCUGAGCGUAGGUGAUUCUGGUGGCUUUUCUUGGGACUCGCUAGGCAACCCAUUCUGCUCGCCUAGCGAGCAUGACAACUCAUGAACAAACUUUUGCUCCUUCAAGAUUAACGUUUUGACUGACAAAU